rnacentral:rRNA from 1 species
CCCUUAGAUGUCCUGGGCCGCACGCGCGCUACACUGAUGCAUUCAGCGAGUAUUUCCUUGGCCGAGAGGCCUGGGCAAUCUUUUAAACCUACAUCGUGAUAGGGAUAGAUUAUUGCAAUUAUUAAUCUUGAACGAGGAAUUCCUAGUAAACGCAAAUCAUCAAUUUGCAUUGAUUACGUCCCUGCCCUUUGUACACACCGCCCGUCGCACCUACCGAUUGAAUGGUCCGGUGAAAUCUCGGGAUUGUGGCCAGUUCACUUUAUUGGGAGUUGGCUGCGAGAACUUGCUUAAACCUUAUCAUUUAGAGGAAGGUGAAGUCGUAACA